UACGAAGGGGGCUAGCGUUGUUCGGAAUUACUGGGCGUAAAGCGCGUGUAGGCGGCCCUGCAAGUCGGGUGUGAAAUCCCAUGGCUCAACCAUGGAAGUGCACUCGAAACUGCAGGGCUAGAGUCCUGGAGAGGAAGGUGGAAUGCUUGGUGUAGAGGUGAAAUUCGUAGAUAUCAAGCAGAACACCUGCGGCGAAGGCGGCCUUCUGGACGAUGACUGACGCUGAGACGCGAAAGCGUGGGGAGCAAACAGG
rnacentral:rRNA from 1 species